GGAAUUGUCAGGAGGGCUGCAGACCAGAA
rnacentral:piRNA from 1 species